rnacentral:lncRNA from 1 species
AUCUUGUACCUUCAUGAAGUUUCGGCUCAUGUUUGGGGGAUUGGAGAACUACACUCUGGGGAUUGCUAUAAUCACUAUACUCCCCAGGGUAUGAUCCCUAAGCUCUGCUAAGAGCUUGUUCCUGUUCCUGCUCUCUGGAAUUUGGAGAGGUCGACCUACUGGAAGCUGGACCCUGGUCUUGGGUCCAGAGUGGGUGGAGAC